rnacentral:lncRNA from 1 species
CCGCCCCCGCGCCGGCGCGCUUCGACGUGCCCUGGAACUUACCCUCCCUCUGAGACCAGCCUGCGGGGACGCCGGGCUGCGGCGGCGACGUCGGCGGUAGCUGCCUUCGGAGCGCGCUCCAGACUCGUGGUGGUGUCCCGCGGCUGCUGUGUUCGCCGAGGAAGGAGCUGCUGGGCCUCGAGGCUCCCCCGGUCCUCGGUUUAAGUGUAACACCAGCUAUUUACAUCUCCUCCUUCUAAGCAGUAUUAAUGCAGCAAGCCAUAAGCCAUAAUGUGGCAUGCCAUCCUUUUUGAGAG